rnacentral:misc_RNA from 1 species
CCAUCACCUUUCUACCACCGAACCGCAAGGCAUCGCAUGAAUUUGCACCGCUAUGUGGUUGAAAUCCCACGAUCUCGCACUAAACGAUUUGCUUCCUCGCUCCUAAUACGCACCGCAAAAAUUUGGAAUGCCCUUCCGGCUUCCGUUUUUCCAACGAACUAUAACUUGGGUAUCUUUAAAUCAAGAGUGAAUAGGCAUCUUCUAGGCAAGCGCGCACCACCUUAGGCUGCAUCUUAACUUGACUUCAGGUGAGAUCGCAGUCAAGCGCUAGUCUAUAUAUUUAAAAAAAAAAAAAAAAAAAAAAAGUUCCCUCGACAAUCUUUCGUCUCCAUCAUCAGACUUUAAUGGCACUUGUAACUCAUAUAGGUGCAAAGUUCUCAUCAAUAGAAACGAAUUAAGUUCAAACAGCAGGUAAUUGCUAUAAAUCGUUAAAGAGUUCCCUCGACUAACUUUUGUCUCCAUCAUCAGC